UUUACCAUAGGAGACCUUCUCAAAAUAUUUGUUGCAGAUAUAAAGGAAGAAAACAUGAAGAACAAUAAAACAGUGAUCCUGCAAAGAUAGUGAAGAAUGGUCUCACUUGUGGGUCAUCCUCACCAGAAUUUGUAGUAAUUUGUUUCAUGGAUCAAGGCCAUUCUCACUGGUAAGAGGAGAAGUGAGAGUAGGACAUGGAGAAGUGGAGGGACUGGAAAUUGUGUUCCAGAUAUAAUGUAAGAGAGAAGACAAAAGUAAAAAGAAAAAAAAAA